UUGUUUUCCUUCUCUCUCUGAACCUUGGUAUGUAUUUUGAUUGAAUCACAGGGAGAAAGAAUUAGCCGCUGUUAAGAUAAAUGCAGCAGAUGUUGAUAUAAUUGCAAACGAACUAGAGUUGGACAAAAAGGUGGCUGAAAGAACCCUGCGUGAGCAUAAAGGUGAUGAUGUUGCUGCCAUUCGUCAUUUGCUUCACUAGUGUGGUAGAAACAAACAAGGGAAUAUGAUCUGUAUUGGCUUAUAUUUACUAUUUUGCAUUGAAAUUUGAAUCUCAAAUGUAUACUAUGAUGAUGAUGAUAUAGUUCAUUAGAAAUUUGAACUAUGAUGUUGAUGAUAUUGGAAUAAGCCUCACCCCCUCAAUUUUUGUGGUCCAAAUGAAGCUCCUAUUAGCUUACGGAGUUUGGUUAUUCACGAAGAUCUUCUUGCUUGUUGUACUUAUAUAGUUUGUCAUCAUCAAGCUAAGCUAGUACUAGUUUCUACUCAAAUGUAACAGCUCUACAUGCUUUUGUGAUUACAUUAUGUUGCUUCUGACGAUCCAACAAUUAUCUGACUUGCU